GUAUGUGUGUUCAGUUAGUCAGUUCAUGAUCCUGUCACUCAUGAUGCCGCAUAAGUCAAAGAAAGACAAGUGUGUGAAAUCCAGCAGAAAGGGAGGCAAACUGCAUGACGAUGAUCAGGACUUUGAAAAUGAGGGUCUGAAUAAGAGGAUCAGGACCAGAAAACACACGUCCGGCCCGAACACACACCGCAGACUGAGUGUGUGUGUGAGCAUCAGCAGAGAGCUGGAGCCACUGGACGCUCUCACA